rnacentral:rRNA from 1 species
UACAGAGGGUGCAAGCGUUGUUCGGAAUUAUUGGGCGUAAAGCGCGUGUAGGCGGCUUAGCAAGUCGGGCGUGAAAGCCCUCGGCUCAACCGAGGAAGUGCACCCGAAACUGCUGAGCUUGAGUGCCGGAGAGGAUGGCGGAAUUCCCCAAGUAGAGGUGAAAUUCGUAGAUAUGGGGGAGGAACACCGGUGGCGAAGGCGGCCAUCUGGACGGUAACUGACGCUGAGACGCGAAAAGCGUGGGUAGCAAACAGG